UACGGAGGAUCCGAGCGUUAUCCGGAUUUAUUGGGUUUAAAGGGUGCGCAGGCGGGAGAUUAAGUCGGCGGUGAAAUUUUGCAGCUCAACUGUAAAAGUGCCUUCGAAACUGGUUUCCUUGAGUGUAGAUGAAGUAGGCGGAAUUUGUGGUGUAGCGGUGAAAUGCAUAGAUGUCACGAGGAACUCCGAUUGCGCAGGCAGCUUACUAAACUACUACUGACGCUCGGGCACGAAGGCGUGGGGAUCAAACAGGAUUAGAUACCCUGGUAGU
rnacentral:rRNA from 1 species